UAUAUAUACCUGACUUAUGCAUUUGGUAGACCGAUUGUAUUAUUUUAUCUUUAUUAGGGAGACCAGUAGAUUAGGGAGACAUAUUUUGGUCUCCGUAUUAUUUUGACCUUGUCUAAAAUGUAAUUGGCUUAUCUUUAAAUGAAUGAACGGUGUGUCUUUGCCUAAAAUGCAUCAAUGUGUCUAUUAUUUGACAUCCAAUAGUUGCCUUUUGUCUAUAUUUUUUCGUAAAAAGGAAUUCAAUCUGCCUCCAUCGUAUAAUUAGCAAUGACUAUUUUUCUGCAUUUAGGAGACCAACGAAAACUUGCAAUAUUGCAAAAAAUCUAACAUAUAUAAUUUGUUUAGCCUUUGAUUAUUCUAAAUGAACUUGUUUUCAAAAUACUUUUUCACUUUUUAUGUAUAAAGCCUAACUAGAAAAAAAGUCGUUAAUUUCUUGACCAUGUUUGAACAUUUGGCAAGUGCUCUCCGCCAUUUGUUCCGAGUACUCUCGGAACGUCUCGGGUUAAAACAAUGGACCUUUUAACGCCAGCGUGUUGCCUUUUAGGAAUCAAAGCCAUUUUAUGGUAAGUACUUUUGAUAAUCCUACUACAAUUGAACAAAGUAAUGUUUUUAUGAAGUUUUUUUUUAAAAAUAUUCAAAUAAAAUAGGGCGAUAAUGUGUGCAACUUGACUAUUUUACACCAAAUGUUGAUUAAUCUUCGAGGACAUUCGAAACGAAGUUAACAAUAAAAGCAUGAUUUUCAUUUCCACUGUACGUUUGAUGUAAUAUGUAAUUCAAGGAUUUAUCAGUACCUUCUCCAGAGCAAAAGUCGUCCCCAUUCCCAAUUGGAAAUAAUUAAGUUCACUUCAGCAGCUGUCCAAAUUAUGAUCCCAAUUAGUAUAGCAGUAUUUUUCCCCAACUGGUAAGAUAGUCAGGCCUCCAUGUUUACAACCGGGAUGCUCACCCCACAUUUACAAUUGUGACCCACAUUUACAAAUGUGACAUCAUAGUAUCACUCUCGUUUGGCUUUUCGGAUAUUAUCAGGUUUUGGAGUUAUUAGCACAACCAGUCAUGUCAGUGGAGAUUUUCUCCUGCAGGAGAAACAUUAAAAGGACAGGAUGGGGAGGAGAGAUUGAAGACAAGCACAGAAAACAAAAUAUUUAUCUAUAAAUAUAAUGGAAAA